CAGUAGCCGCGGGAAUACGAGGGGGGCAAGCGUUGUUCGGAAUUAUUGGGCGUAAAGGGUGCGUAGGCGGCUUGACAAGUCUUGUGUGAAAUCUAUGGGCUCAACCCAUAGUCUGCACGGGAAACUGUCGGGCUUGAGAAUGGGAGAGGUGAGUGGAAUUUCCGGUGUAGCGGUGAAAUGCGUAGAUAUCGGAAGGAACACCUGUGGCGAAAGCGGCUCACUGGACCAUUUCUGACGCUGAUGCACGAAAGCUAGGGGAGCAAACAGGAUUAGAUACCCCGGUAGUCCCUGUCUCUUAUAC
rnacentral:rRNA from 1 species